rnacentral:rRNA from 1 species
CGUUCAACCGCAAAAGAAGCAGAGGGGGCUUAGUGGUGGGGUGACUGCGUACCUUUUGUAUAAUGGGUCAGCGACUUAUAUUCUGUAGCAAGGUUAACCGUAUAGGGGAGCCGGAGGGAAACCGAGUCUUAAUUGGGCGUUAAGUUGCAGGGUAUAGACCCGAAACCCGGUGAUCUAGCCAUGGGCAGGUUGAAGGUUGGGUAACACUAACUGGAGGACCGAACCGACUAAUGUUGAAAAAUUAGCGGAUGACCUGUGGCUGGGGGUGAAAGGCCAAUCAAACCGGGAGAUAGCUGGUUCUCCCCGAAAGCUAUUUAGGUAGCGCCUCGUGAAUUCAUCUCCGGGGGUAGAGCACUGUUUCGGCUAGGGGGCCAUCCCGGCUUACCAACCCGAUGCAAACUGCGAAUACCGGAGAAUGUUAUCACGGGAGACACACGGCGGGUGCUAACGUCCGUCGUGAAGAGGGAAACAACCCAGACCGCCAGCUAAGGUCCCAAAGUCAUGGUUAAGUGGGAAACGAUGUGGGAAGGCCCAGACAGCCAGGAUGUUGGCUUAGAAGCAGCCAUCAUUUAAAGAAAGCGUAAUAGCUCACUGGUCGAGUCGGCCUGCGCGGAAGAUGUAACGGGGCUAAACCAUG